rnacentral:rRNA from 1 species
GAUCAUGGCUCAGGAUGAACGCUAGCGGCAGGCUUAACACAUGCAAGUCGAGGGGCAGCAUAAUGGAUAGCAAUAUCUAUGGUGGCGACCGGCGCACGGGUGCGUAACGCGUAUGCAACCUACCUUUAACAGGGGAGUAACACUGAGAAAUUAGGUACUAAUACCCCACUAACAUCAUGAAAGGACGAUCUUUUAUUUGGUUGGUAAAAUUAACCGUACUGGUUAGGUAGAGUGGGCGGAUGCGUUGGUUA